rnacentral:rRNA from 1 species
GAUGAACGCUGGCGGCGUGUUUAACACAUGCAAGUCGAACGGAGUGCUCAUGAUGGACCAUUCGUCCAACGGAUUGAGUUACUUAGUGGCGGACGGGUGAGUAACGCGUGAGGAACCUGCCUCGGAGUGGGGAAUAACAGCCCGAAAGGGUUGCUAAUACCGCAUGAUGCAGCUGGGUUGCAUGACCCUGGCUGCCAAAGAUUUAUCGCUCUGAGAUGGCCUCGCGUCUGAUUAGCUAGUAGGCGGGGUAACGGCCCACCUAGGCGACGAUCAGUAGCCGGACUGAGAGGUUGACCGGCCACAUUGGGACUGAGACACGGCCCAGACUCCUACGGGAGGCAGCAGUGGGGAAUAUUGGGCAAUGGGCGCAAGCCUGACCCAGCAACGCCGCGUGAAGGAUGAAGGCUUUCGGGCUGUAAACUUCUUUUAUCAGGGACGAAACAAAUGACGGUACCUGAUGAAUAAGCCACGGCUAACUACGUGCCAGCAGCCGCGGUAAUACGUAGGUGGCAAGCGUUAUCCGGAUUUACUGGGUGUAAAGGGCGUGUAGGCGGGACUGCAAGUCAGAUGUGAAAACUAUGGGCUCAACCCAUAGCCUGCAUUUGAAACUGUAGUUCUUGAGUGCUGGAGAGGCAAUCGGAAUUCCGUGUGUAGCGGUGAAAUGCAUAGAUAUACGGAGGAACACCAGUGGCGAAGGCGGAUUGCUGGACAGUAACUGACGCUGAGGCGCGAAAGCGUGGGGAGCAAACAGG